UACGGGAGGCAGCAGUGGGGAAUUUUGCGCAAUGGGCGAAAGCCUGACGCAGCAAUACCGCGUGAGUGAUGAAGGCUCUUGGGUCGUAAAGCUCUGUCAGAGGGGAAGAACCUCCUGUCAUAUAAUACAUGGCAGGCCUGACGGUACCCUCAGAGGAAGCACCGGCUAACUCCGUGCCAGCAGCCGCGGUAAU
rnacentral:rRNA from 1 species